rnacentral:rRNA from 1 species
GGACGAACGCUGGCGGCGUGCCUAAUACAUGCAAGUAGAACGCUGAAGAGAGGAGCUUGCUCUUCUUGGAUGAGUUGCGAACGGGUGAGUAACGCGUAGGUAACCUGCCUUGUAGCGGGGGAUAACUAUUGGAAACGAUAGCUAAUACCGCAUAACAAUGGAUGACACAUGUCAUUUAUUUGAAAGGGGCAAUUGCUCCACUACAAGAUGGACCUGCGUUGUAUUAGCUAGUAGGUGAGGUAACGGCUCACCUAGGCGACGAUACAUAGCCGACCUGAGAGGGUGAUCGGCCACACUGGGACUGAGACACGGCCCAGACUCCUACGGGAGGCAGCAGUAGGGAAUCUUCGGCAAUGGGGGCAACCCUGACCGAGCAACGCCGCGUGAGUGAAGAAGGUUUUCGGAUCGUAAAGCUCUGUUGUAAGUCAAGAACGAGUGUGAGAGUGGAAAGUUCACACUGUGACGGUAGCUUACCAGAAAGGGACGGCUAACUACGUGCCAGCAGCCGCGGUAAUACGUAGGUCCCGAGCGUUGUCCGGAUUUAUUGGGCGUAAAGCGAGCGCAGGCGGUUUGAUAAGUCUGAAGUUAAAGGCUGUGGCUCAACCAUAGUUCGCUUUGGAAACUGUCAAACUUGAGUGCAGAAGGGGAGAGUGGAAUUCCAUGUGUAGCGGUGAAAUGCGUAGAUAUAUGGAGGAACACCGGUGGCGAAAGCGGCUCUCUGGUCUGUAACUGACGCUGAGGCUCGAAAGCGUGGGGAGCGAACAGGAUUAGAUACCCUGGUAGUCCACGCCGUAAACGAUGAGUGCUAGGUGUUGGAUCCUUUCCGGGAUUCAGUGCCGCAGCUAACGCAUUAAGCACUCCGCCUGGGGAGUACGACCGCAAGGUUGAAACUCAAAGGAAUUGACGGGGGCCCGCACA